rnacentral:rRNA from 1 species
CCUACGGGGGGCAGCAGUGAGGAAUAUUGGUCAAUGGGCGAGAGCCUGAACCAGCCAAGUCGCGUGAGGGAGUACUGCCCUAUGGGUUGUAAACCUCUUUUGUCGGGGAGCAAAAGCCGGACGUGUCCGGCUGUGAGAGUACCCGAAGAAAAAGCAUCGGCUAACUCCGUGCCAGCAGCCGCGGUAAUACGGAGGAUGCGAGCGUUAUCCGGAUUUAUUGGGUUUAAAGGGUGCGCAGGGGGGUUUUUAAGUCAGCGGUAAAAUCGUGGGGCUCAACCCCAUCCAGCCGUUGAAACUGGGGAUCUAGAGUGUGCGAGAGGUAUGCGGAAUGCGUGGUGUAGCGGUGAAAUGCAUAGAUAUCACGCAGAACCCCGAUUGCGAAGGCAGCAUACCGGUGCACAACUGACGCUCAGGCACGAAAGCGUGGGUAUCGAACAGGAUUAGAUACCCCAGUAGUC